UACGCAGGCUGGCAAUUAAGUCAGUGGUGAAAUCCCACCGCUCAACGGUGGAACUGCCAUCGAUACUGGUUGUCUUGAGUACAGUAGAGGUAUGCGGAAUGUCACAUGUAGCGGUGAAAUGCAUAGAUAUGUCAUAGAACACCGAUUGCGAAGGCAGCAUACUGGACUGUAACUGACGCUGAGGUACGAAAGCGUGGGGAGCGAACAGGAUUAGAUACCCUGGUAGUCC
rnacentral:rRNA from 1 species